rnacentral:rRNA from 1 species
UACGGGGGGGGCAAGCGUUGUUCGGAAUUACUGGGCGUAAAGGGCUCGUAGGUGGCCAACUAAGUCAGACGUGAAAUCCCUCGGCUUAACCGGGGAACUGCGUCUGAUACUGGAUGGCUUGAGAUUGGGAGAGGGAUGCGGAAUUCCAGGUGUAGCGGUGAAAUGCGUAGAUAUUGGGAGGAACACCAGUGGCGAAGGCGGCUCGCUGGACCGGUUCUGACGCUGAGGCGCGAAAGCGUGGGGAGCAAACAGG